rnacentral:rRNA from 1 species
GGCCUCAAAUCAGACAAGAGUACCCGCUGAACUUAAGCAUAUCAAUAAGCGGAGGAAAAGAAACUAACAAGGAUUCCCCUAGUAACGGCGAGUGAAGCGGGAACAGCUCAAAUUUUAAAUCUGGCUGCUUUGUAGUCCGAGUUGUAAUUUGAAGGGGUCUUGCCGCUGGCAAAACGAUGGCACAAGUCCUCUGGAACGGGGCAUCGUAGAGGGUGAGAAUCCCGUCUCUGGUCAUCACGCGCUGGCAUACGGCAGGCAUCCGAAGAGUCGAGUUGUUUGGGAUUGCAGCUCCAAAUGGGUGGUAAACUCCAUCUAAGGCUAAAUAUUGGCGAGAGACCGAUAGCGAACAAGUACCGUGAGGGAAAGAUGAAAAGAACUUUGAAAAGAGAGUAAAACAGUACGUGAAAUUGUUGAAAGGGAAACGAUUGAAG